UACGAAGGGGGCUAGCGUUGUUCGGAAUCACUGGGCGUAAAGCGCACGUAGGCGGAUCUUUAAGUCAGGGGUGAAAUCCUGGAGCUCAACUCCAGAACUGCCUUUGAUACUGGGAAGCUCGAGUCCGGGAGAGGUGAGUGGAACUCCGAGUGUAGAGGUGAAAUUCGUAGAUAUUCGGAAGAACACCAGUGGCGAAGGCGGCUCACUGGCCCGGUACUGACGCUGAGGUGCGAAAGCGUGGGGAGCAAACAGG
rnacentral:rRNA from 1 species